GAGAAUCUCAGAUUCCUCAGCUGAAUGGUGGUGAACCUGGACGGUAAGAUCAUAGUUCAAGCAAGCAGAAUUCUGUUGUGGUGCAGAGAAUAAAGGAGGCAUCGCUUGAAACUUGCCAGAUCUUCUAAAACUCACAGAUCCACAGUGCUGCCAUCAAGAACAUCUGGACUAGUGAGACACCGUCUGCUUAGAAAGGGAAGGAGAUAAGCCGAUGCUAUUCUACUGCUAACAGGACAGCCUACCAAGUGCAUGAUAUACUAUUGAAAUAGUGGACCCCCAAGAACUGGAAUUUCCCCCAGGGGGCUCUUGCAGAAUCCUGGUACCAGCCAGAGGAAGAACUUAUCACACCACAAGAGAUCUCACAUACUUCUGGUUAUUGUCAGAUUACAUUGUAGAAGAGAGUGGUGUUUGGACAAUGGCAGGCACUCUCCUGGUAUCAAAAAACAGCUAAAGGAAGAUACAUCUGCUGAUCUGAAAGUGAUUCUGACCAGGGAAGGAAAGAAGCCAACAUAUAUUAACAUCAUGAAUUCGCAGCAGGCUGCUUGACCCCUUCUGGUGUGUGGACUGGGCAGCUCCCUGGAGGAAGGACAUAAAUGUCACUGUGGGGACAAACUUGAGACAGGUGAGCAGA
rnacentral:sRNA from 1 species